AUUCACAUUAUAAUGCUUGAUCUGUGGAUAAAAGGCUGUGGAUUUGCAUAAAAUUAGUGUAGGCUAUAUAAAUAUAAACACUUCUGAAUUCUUGACAUUCAUAUAUAAAUAUAUAAUUGUGAAAUGUAUGAUUGCCUGAUUCAAUUUUAUAAGAGUACUAAUAGUAAUUUGUUUUUAUUAACAUGUUUAGAUUUUAUAAAAUUACUGUGCAGAUUUUUUCAAGAAUUACUUUUUGCUGCUGAUUUAUACACUCACUAAGUUUAAUAAAAAUACAUAAUAAAUUUAUGUAAUAUUUAAAGUUGUUAACUGUAAUUUAUCUUACACUGCAAAAUAAUAAUUUACAAAGGAUUAAAUUUAUCACAAUUAUGUAAGUAACAAACAAAGCUACCUCUUGACAGUCCAACCCUAAGGACUCUGUCAUGCUUGGACCCAGAUGCACGGGGAAGCCAUCACAUUCUUCCUCAUCUCCAGAAGUUGCCGAACAUGUUUCCAGAUGUGAAGCUUAAUGAACUGGAGAGAGCUGGAUUUCAACAUGAAAUACACAGAUAUGCAAGUGACAUGACACUACCUCAGAUGACAGUGGAGGCAAGAGUUGAUUUAUGGUGGAAUGUUGUGAGAAAGACUCAGAGGUACCCAGCGCUCUGCAAGCUUGCACUGUCUGCACUAUGCCCAUUUCAUGGUCCACAGGUGGACCGGAUCGGAUGAUCUGGAGCAGACAUGGAAAGUAUUAACUUUCUAAGCUAUAGCAAGUGUUAUUCCAUUCUGGGCUUGCGCACCUCUGCUCUAGUUUUCAACCUUUCUGAAGAGCGGAUAGACAUACAGUACAUAGUCAAACAUGUAAAAAUGAAUAUAUUUUCUGAUAUGGAUUCUUACAUUCUAAUGAAAAUUUUCCAUUAUUCUUGAUUUCCAGCAUACACAGACUCAUGGCCAAGCUAGCACUGAACAGCCCUGAAUUAAAGUCUAUCGAACAGGGGGUCAAGAAUCGGUUCAAAUGGAGCUGUUUGCUGGAGACUGUCCAAGUUGAGGGAAACACUUUCUCACUCAAUUGCUUUAGCAAAAUUAGAGAACCAGGCAAAGCUAUUUGCAACAUUUGCAACCACCCUAUUAACUAUGGCACAAGUGGGAAGAUUGCACUCCGGAAACAUAUGAUGCAUCCAAAACAUGUGAAACUGUGGAAGAUCCAACAGCAGAACAUGCACAUUGAGAUCACACGAGCUGAUAACAUCAUUGUUGCGGCUCCGCACAACAACUCGGCGCAACCCAGAUCAAUUCCUUCUCUAUGCAACCGUGUUGCUCAGGAUCAAGCACUCAUUCUUGGAUUCAUUGCUGAAAAUUCUCUUCCCCUGUCAGUCACGUCUGGGAUUAUUAAAUUGGCUCAAGAGUUGGCCAAAGAUCCAAAAGCACUUGCUGAACUGUCAAUGGACAGGACAUCUGCCUCAUACAAGCUCACCCAUGGUGUGAAGAAGACUAUCCUGGAUGAAGUACUUGAGGAAAUCAGAAAUGUCCCCUUCUCCCUCAACAUAGAUGAGGCCACAAGCAAGACAAACAAAAGAGUAUUAGGUGUGCUUGUCAGCUACUGGUCCGAGAAACAUGAGAGGAUGGUUGUCCAACACCUUGCAGCUUUGGAGCUCAUAUCUGUAACGGCAGAAUCUCUCUUCAGUGCACUGGAUGGGCUUUUUGAAAGGAUGAAUCUCCCAUGGGAUAAUCUGGUGUCAAUUCUCAUUCUGUGCUGUUAUGAGGGGCUCUAAAAAAGGCUUGGAAAAGAAGAUCAGAGACCGCCGUGCCCCUCAUCUCCUUGACAUCGAUGGUGACUCAUGUCACCACCUUCAUAAUGCCAGCAAGAAAUUGUGCUGUCCUUUUGAGCGUUGGGUUGAGUCUUUGCUGUCAGACCUGCACACAGACCACAAAUGGUCAGCUGACAUGAAAGAUGGCCUCAGAGAAAUUUGCAGCAUAUUUGGAAUCCAUUUCUCGCAGCCAGAGUGCUAUAUUCCACACCGGUGGCUCUCAGUCUUGGAUGUCAGUCUGGAAACACUGCGAAUGUGGGAUGCACUGGUCAUGUUUUACUAUGCCUUCCUGAGCAAUGAAGAUAAGUGUACAUACAAGGACAUUGUCAGUGCUAUUCUACAGAAGCGUGAAGUACAGGGAACAGGCAGGGCCCGGAUCAAGGAGUUGUGGAAGGAGUUGGGGAACAGGUCCAAGAACUUCACAAACGA
ensembl:lncRNA